GAUGGGCUGAGCAGGGCUCAGGGAAAAGGAGGCGGCCCGCACGUGCGUGAGGGUAGGGGGCUUCCAAGGGGCGGGUCUGGCUGCCUGCACGUGGGCUCGCGGUCGCGCGCUGACGCCGAGCCCGGCCUCCGCGCGCCGGGGGCCCCAGCACGUGGCGCCUUCCUGCGCGCGUGCGUCUUCUGCGAGGCCCGGGUGCAAAGUGCCGAUCGGAGCGCGCGGGCGCUGCCCCCCGCCGGUGUAUCCUCAGAAAGAGAGGAAGGGGGAGAGAAAUACAUCAAUCAGUUGCCUCCUAUAAGCACCCCGACCAGGAAUUGGACCCACAACCCAGCACUCACUGAGGACUACGGAGAGCAGUGCAGAAGCCCCCGGAGCACAGCAGACACUCAGAGUGCAUGGCAGUCAGAACAGAGCCCUUUCCUGGAUAUUAAUUUUUAUCAGCACUGGCAAAUGAGUUCUUCAGGAAGUUCUAAC